rnacentral:rRNA from 2 species
AGAAACUGCUUCUUUGCUGAGAGUGGCGGAGGGUGAGUAAUGUCUGGGAAACUGCCUGCAUGGAGGGGGGAUAACUACUGGAAACGGUAGCUAAUACCGCAUAACGUCGCAAGACCAAAGAGGGGGACCUUCGGGCCUCUUGCCAUCGGAUGUGCCCAGAUGGGAUUAGCUAGUAGGUGGGGUAACGGCUCACCUAGGCGACGAUCCCUAGCUGGUCUGAGAGGAUGACCAGCCACACUGGAACUGAGACACGGUCCAGACUCCUACGGGAGGCAGCAGUGGGGAAUAUUGCACAAUGGGCGCAAGCCUGAUGCAGCCAUGCCGCGUGUAUGAAGAAGGCCUUCGGGUUGUAAAGUACUUUCAGCGGGGAGGAAGGGAGUAAAGUUAAUACCUUUGCUCAUUGACGUUACCCGCAGAAGAAGCACCGGCUAACUCCGUGCCAGCAGCCGCGGUAAUACGGAGGGGUGCAAGCGUUAAUCGGAAUUACUGGGCGUAAAGCGCACGCAGGCGGUUUGUUAAGUCAGAUGUGAAAUCCCCGGGCUCAACCUGGGAACUGCAUCUGAUACUGGCAAGCUUGAGUCUCGUAGAGGGGGGUAGAAUUCCAGGUGUAGCGGUGAAAUGCGUAGAGAUCUGGAGGAAUACCGGUGGCGAAGGCGGCCCCCUGGACGAAGACUGACGCUCAGGUGCGAAAGCGUGGGGAGCAAACAGGAUUAGAUACCCUGGUAGUCCACGCCGUAAACGAUGUCGACUUGGAGGUUGUGCCCUUGAGGCGUGGCUUCCGGAGCUAACGCGUUAAGUCGACCGCCUGGGGAGUACGGCCGCAAGGUUAAAACUCAAAUGAAUUGACGGGGGCCCGCACAAGCGGUGGAGCAUGUGGUUUAAUUCGAUGCAACGCGAAGAACCUUACCUGGUCUUGACAUCCACGGAAGUUUUCAGAGAUGAGAAUGUGCCUUCGGGAACCGUGAGACAGGUGCUGCAUGGCUGUCGUCAGCUCGUGUUGUGAAAUGUUGGGUUAAGUCCCGCAACGAGCGCAACCCUUAUCCUUUGUUGCCAGCGGUCCGGCCGGGAACUCAAAGGAGACUGCCAGUGAUAAACUGGAGGAAGGUGGGGAUGACGUCAAGUCAUCAUGGCCCUUACGACCAGGGCUACACACGUGCUACAAUGGCGCAUACAAAGAGAAGCGACCUCGCGAGAGCAAAGCGGACCUCAUAAAGUGCGUCGUA